rnacentral:rRNA from 1 species
UUUUAUACUCGUGCUGUAGCAAACGCGUUAAUUCAUCCGCNUGAGAAGUACGGCCGCAAGUUAAAACUCAAAUGAAUAGACGGGGACCCACACAAGCAGUGGAUCAUGCGGUUUAAUUCGAUAAUAAACGGGGAAUCUUACCCAGGCUUGACAUCUAACGAAUCCCGCAGAAAUGUAGGAGUGCUCGCAAGAGAACGUUAAGACAGGCGCUGCAUGGUUGUCGUCAGCUCGUGCCUUGAGGUGUUCGGUUAAGUCCGUUAACGAGCGCAACCCAUGUCGUUAGUUACUAUGUCUAACGAGACUGCCCGAGUUAAUCGGGAGGAAGGUGUGGAUGACGUCAAAUCAGCAUGGCCCUUAUGCCUGGGGCCACACGCAUGAUACAAUGGUCGGUACAAAGAGUAGCAAUGUGGUGACACUGAGCCAAUCUCAAAAAGCCGAUCUCAGUCCGGAUUGGAGGCUGCAACUCGCCUCCAUGAAGUCGGAAUCGCUAGUAAUCGCGGAUCAGCAUGCCGCGGUGAAUCCGUUCCCGGGCCUUGUACACACCGCCCGUCACACCACGAAAGUUGGCGAUACCUGAAGUUGCCAUACCAACCCUUCGGGGAGGAAGGUACCGAGGGUAUGGUCAGCGAUUGGGGUGAAGUCGUAACAAGGUAACC